GGCAAGAUGGCCGAGCGGUUAAGGCGGAAGACUCAAGGGAUUCGUCUCCUUUACCUGGUUUAGCAGGGCAGCAUUCUUCUGGGGCAACCCGCGUGGGUUCGAAUCCCACUCUUGUCA